GAUGAACGCUGGCGGCGUGCUUAACACAUGCAAGUCGAGCGAAGCACUUUACUUGGAUUUCUUCGGAAUGACGAGUAUUGUGACUGAGCGGCGGACGGGUGAGUAACGCGUGGGUAACCUGCCUCAUACAGGGGGAUAACAGUUAGAAAUGACUGCUAAUACCGCAUAAGACCACAGCACCGCAUGGUGCAGGGGUAAAAACUCCGGUGGUAUGAGAUGGACCCGCGUCUGAUUAGCUGGUUGGUGGGGUAACGGCCUACCAAAGCAACGAUCAGUAGCCGACCUGAGAGGGCGACCGGCCACAUUGGGACUGAGACACGGCCCAAACUCCUACGGGAGGCAGCAGUGGGGAAUAUUGCACAAUGGGGGAAACCCUGAUGCAGCGACGCCGCGUGAAGGAAGAAGUAUUUCGGUAUGUAAACUUCUAUCAGCAGGGAAGAAGAUGACGGUACCUGACUAAGAAGCCCCGGCUAACUACGUGCCAGCAGCCGCCGUAA
rnacentral:rRNA from 1 species